GACGAACGCUGGCGGCGUGCUUAACACAUGCAAGUCGAACGGAAAGGCCCUGCUUUUGUGGGGUGCUCGAGUGGCGAACGGGUGAGUAACACGUGAGUAACCUGCCCUUGACUUUGGGAUAACUUCAGGAAACUGGGGCUAAUACCGGAUAGGAGCUCCUGCUGCACGGUGGGGGUUGGAAAGUUUCGGCGGUUGGGGAUGGACUGGCGGGUUAUCCGCUUGUUGGUGGGGUAGUGGCUUACCAAGGCUUUGACGGGUAGCCGGCCUGAGAGGGUGACCGGCCACAAUGGGACUGAGAUAGGGCGCAGACUCCUACGGGAGGCAGUAGGGGGGAGUAUUGCACAAUGGGCGGAAGCCUGAUGCAGCAACGCCGCGUGCGGGAUGACGGGCUUCGAGUGAUAAACCGCUUUCGCCGGUGACGAGGCGUGAGUGACGGUAAUGGGUAAAGAAGCACCGGCUAACUACGUG
rnacentral:rRNA from 1 species